GCAGAUGCUAAAAUGCCAGAUAUGCAGGCGGGAUGGGAACAGGCUAUGUCAAAUGUAAUGGCUGGCCUCACAGGUCUUAACAUGGUUUAUGAAGCAG
rnacentral:ncRNA from 1 species